rnacentral:rRNA from 1 species
UACAGAGGGUGCAAGCGUUAAUCGGAUUUACUGGGCGUAAAGCGUGAGUAGGUGGCUCGCUAAGUCGGUUGUGAAAUCCCUGGGCUCAACCUGGGAAUUGCAGUCGAUACUGGCAAGCUAGAGUUCGGUAGAGGGUGGCGGAAUUCCCGGUGUAGCGGUGAAAUGCGUAGAUAUCGGGAGGAACAUCGAUGGCGAAGGCAACCACCUGGGCCUGAACUGACACUGAGACACGAAAGCGUGGGUAGCAAACGGG